rnacentral:pre_miRNA from 1 species
AAAUCUCUGCAGGCAACUGUGAUGCAGACUCGGACACACGUUGGCCUGGAGAGGUUCCAC